rnacentral:lncRNA from 1 species
GGAAGGACUGAGCUUUGUGUCCUGGCAGGAAGCCUUUUUACCCUUAAGCCAGCUGCCUGAUUUUGUCUUUAAUUUGAAAAUCAGAAGUAUGGAAUAUCUAAUGCACGUGUUUUCAAAACAAGUACUUAGAAGUGCAAAGUGAACCUUCUUACUUAGUGAAAAAUGACCCCAUGCAUCACUACACACUGGGAGAUGGCUGACUGAAAAACACUAAAG